UCUUUAGCUAGUGGCAACUUACUGAUUGGAAAGCCAACAACAAGUAUUCAGUACUUGUAUGAGUUUCUCGUUGUUGUAACAAAUUGCCACUAACCUAGUAGCUUAAAGCAGCACAAAUUUAUUUUAUAGUCCUAGAGGUCAGAACCCUAACCUAAGUCUCACUGGACUAAAGUCAAGGUAUGUUCAGGGUCGAUUCCUUCUGGGGGCUUGAGGGCAGAACUUGUUUCCCAGCCUUUUCAACUUCUAGAAACUGCCUGCACUCCUUGGUUCAUGGCUCUUUUCUCCAGCUCAAAUCCACCAGCAUGAUUUUUUCAAAUCUCUGUUUCUGUCCUCACAUUUCCUUCUCUGACUGGCUCUGACCCUCCUGUUUCCCUCCUAUAAAGACCCUUGUGAUUCUAUUGGGUCCACUGAAUAAUCCAGGAUAAUCUCUGAUCUCAUGAUUCUUAUACCAGCAAAUUCUCCUUUGCUGUGUAAGGUAACAUACUCAUAAGGUUGUGUAUAUUAGGAUGUGGAUAUCUUUGAGGAGACAUUAUUUAGCUUAUGACAAUAGGUAUUUUGUAAUUAUGCCUAUUUAGUGAUAAAAUCCUGAAAAUGCGUUAUCAGCCAGCAACCAUAGAUACUAUAAAUCAAAUACUGAAACCUAUUUAAAUAAAUGAGCAAAUCUUUAUUAUUCUUAUUUGAGUUCUGGGAGUCAGCUAUGCUGCUAUUGUGCACUGCAAACCAGAGAAGUUCAGUAGUAACAAAAGGAGAGGAGAUUCUCGAAGUGAAGAAGAAAAAUCCAAGCAGAAGUUUGAGAACUAGAAGAAAGUCCUGCAGUACAGUGGCUAUCAUGGGACACGAACUGUAUCUGAGAACACAAUCUGAGACACAUCACUACCCCGGUGUAGUAAACUGUGUAAACCUGUGGACUUCAGCAAGAAGCCCGGAUGGUACUGUGCGGCAGGUGGAACCUCUGUGGAGAUACAUUCAUGGAAGGAAGCAUGCUGCAACAGAAAUGGAGUGUGAUUCAUUCAUUAUGAAAGACAACAAGGACAGAUUUUUUAUAAUUACCUAUAUCAAGUGGUGCAAUUUGGUUCAUGCACCACUCUGGCACUCAACCUCUCCAUCUAUAAAAUAAAGUGAAUGGAUUAUAUCAUCUUUUAUGUCCCUUGAAGCUCUAAAAUCUUCUAACCUCAUGCUUAUAAUGAUUUGAUUCCUUAGAUUUGACUACAUUUUCAUCUAUUUUUUUUCCAGGGUAUGAUGCAAGACAGAAAUUUAAUGAAAGUUAGAUUGAUGUGAAGGGAUAAAGUUGAUUUAAUAAAUCUAAGGACAUUAUUGAUUAUAUGAAUGUU
rnacentral:lncRNA from 12 species